rnacentral:SRP_RNA from 1 species
UCGUGCUAAGCGGGGAGCUAGCGGUGCCCUGUACCCGCAAUCCGCUACAGCGGGGCCGAAUUCCCGACUGAGGCUCUCCGGUUUUGAGUAUUGCGCACGGGCAAGUGGUGUUGAAGGUCGGGUCCUGCGCAACGGGAACUUGUGAACCCCGUCAGGUCCGGAAGGAAGCAGCGGUAAGCAAACCUUCUCGUGUGCCGCAGAUCAACCUGUCCGGAGCUAACUACACGUGUAGCGCUUGGGGUCGGGAGGCGAGGAAGGGGGCAGGA